GAGAGGUAGAAACUCCCUGAGCAAAGAUGUGAGGAGAAGUCUAACCGCAGGAAAGAAGAUAAUGGCACAGAAGAGGAUUUCUGUAGAGGAGAAUUCAAAGCAACAGUGUGCACAGACUGUUGUGGAAACAGAAGAGGCACAUGCAGAAGGAGAUGACAAUGAAGCAGAAGGAAAAUUCAGCAUCCAGGAUAACACCAAGAUUAUAAAUGUUAAGAAGCCGCUGGAAUCCUGCUGCAGCAGCACAGUGAGGACCGCUUAGAGGGCUAACAACUAAUUAAAGGAGUAGUAUCUAAUUCCUGUGCUUUAUCCGGCUGCCAUAGGAAAGUCUUCUGCAAUUCACUCAGUUGUUUUCCUUUAUCAGAUUCAGAAUUAACCUGCUAGAGUGUACACGCUCAUCAGCCAAAAGCUAAAUUCCUAGGUGUGCUAAACUAUUAGACUUAGCUUUAUGAAUCAAAAGAGCCAUGAUGUCUGCUCAUUGACUGGGAAGUAUGACAUUUUCUAUACCGAUACUGUCAUAAAACUGAACACAGCUUUGUAAAGUUACCAAUAAAAGAAAUGUGUUUCAAAUUGUUUCUACGUACACACACAACCACACUCAGGGAAAGGCACUUUGGAAAAGCUAAUCUCUGAGAGGAUCCCUUUGUAGAGAUCCCUGCACAUCAUUCUGCUGGGGUGUACAUGGAGAAAAGAUUAUCCCUGAUGGCUCUUGGAAUAUCCUCAAACCUUGUAGAUCCACAGAGAUCCAUGGGAAUCGAAACUGAUCUGUAUGACCUUGUGUUUUUAUACUGGCUCUGACUCUCCCACACCUCUGCUGCCCUACCUGCAUCUUCUCCUACCUAGGCACUUCCCUCUGAUACUCAAGCUGAUAGCACCAUAAUAAAUACUACUGCACCAGGUUGUGUUAUCUUUCUUGGAGUAGCUCCAGAGGAUAGAGUGAAAGAUGUACGUCCCGACUCUACUCCCAGGUCCUUCCUAUACCCAGUCUCCUCUGCUUCCUGUGUGGAUUCCCAAGCACCCAGUGCUCUGUAGGAAGGGAUGAAGAAUGUUAUCAUGGGGAUGUUUUGGGUCCUCUUCCCUAAAAAAAUGAGGGAAAUACAGACUCUGUAAAGUGAGCUGAAAACUACUUCUGUGGAUAUUGAUAAUGCACCCAGCAACAUCUUAGAACCUGAAAAAAGCUUUUAAAGGAUAGGGACUUCCUUCUCUUAAAACAGAAAUUUGAGAUCAAAGCCACAAGGAGGUGCAGGGUAUCCUCAGGGGACACAAAGUUGACAGUAGUUCCUCCCCAACCCUCGCUAUAUACUUAUUUUUUCAGUGGCUGAUGUUUCAAAAGCUAUUAGAGCUCAGAAACAUAAAGGACAUUGCUUUUAAAUAUUUAGGAUCAAAAUUUGCCCUUAGUUAUACACAUAUGCAUAACUCCCAUCUAAGGGCAAAACCUAUUCCUUUAAGCCUAUCUCAGGAAAAAAGCCAGAUGGUGAAGUGACAGGCAUGGUGGAGUGCUAGAGACCAGCAUGAUUCAAAGCUCAAUAGGGAAAUUGGCUGAGGGGUCAUACUCAGAGAGUAGUGGUGGACGGGUCAUUUUUGACUUGGGGGGGA